GCAGACACAUUCCAGCCAAUCAGCAGCAGACCCUCCCUCCCAGACCCUCCCACCUCCUGGACAGCUCACUAAGAAUGCAGCUUCACAAUGAAUGUAAAUGGAUGCUGUCCAGGAGGUGGGAGGGUCUGGGAGGGAGGGUCUGCUGCUGAUUGGCUGGAAUGUGUCUG